CCCUGUGACUCCCACUGUGUUGUGUUCUCUGUAUCUCCUGAUAAUUUUGUGUUCCACUGUGUCUUCAUACAACUGAUGAUAUCUAAUUUGUUCCCUGUGCAUGUAUUUCAUAGGUUCCAAAAGAAGAUCUGCAAGUUAAAGACCUGGAGGUGAAGUUUCAAAGCCAGAAAUGUUUCAGAAAUGGCUGGUGGCUGUGCAUGGGACUGAGAAGCAUUCUGCAGUCAGACUGCCUUGAAGUAAGUCUUUCAGCCUGACUAUCUCGUUUGAUGGAGACAGUGAACCAGCUGUUUAGACACCUGAUAAAGAAAUUCCAGUGGUGGAGCCAAGGAUCUACUCAAGCUCAUGCUAGAAAUGGAACACCUCCCACCCCUGGAUGCAGUGUCAAAACCAUGGGCACAUCGCACUGUACAGCCUACGCUGCCUUCCUGACCGCUCCUCUCCUCUCUCUGCAGUAGCAAGGGGGUGGCUUCACCACUGCUCCUUGCAAGCAUGAAGUGGAUUUAUCAUUCUGUAAAUGUUAUUUUUGGUAAACAUUUCUACAGAGGCUGCAUAGAAACCAGACUUGAUGCAAACAUUUCCAUGAUGAGUGGAUAUAUAGUCAUACAGCCUCUCCUGGGUCACAUGAAACUAGAUGUUACAUUUGGCAGUAAUAACAAGGUAAUCAGAGCUCUUCCAUUUUCCUUGGUCAUGAAUAAAUCCAUCCUUGGCAAGUAA